rnacentral:rRNA from 1 species
AUUCGGAAGGUCCGGGCGUUAUCCGGAUUUAUUGGGUUUAAAGGGAGCGCAGGCGGAGAUGCAAGCGUGACGUCAAAUUUCGGGGCUCAACCCCGUCUCGCGUCGCGAACUGCGUCCCUUGGUUGCGGGAAGGGGAGGCGGAACUCGUGGUGUAGCGGUGAAAUGCAUAGAUAUCACGAAGAACUCCGAUCGCGAAGGCAGCCUUCCGGCCCGUCAACGACGCUCAUGCUCGAAGGUGCGGGUAUCAAACAGGAUUAGAUACCCUGGUAGUCCGCACAGUAAACGAUGGACACCCGCGGUUUGGCCUGUAUGGCUGAGCCGCCAAGCGAAAGCGUUAAGUGUCCCACCUGGGGAGUACGCCGGCAACGGUGAAACUCAAAGGAAUUGACGGG